GCAUAACACAUGCAAGUCGAACGAUGAAGCCCAGCUUGCUGGGUGGAUUAGUGGCGAACGGGUGAGUAACACGUGAGUAACCUGCCCUUAACUCUGGGAUAAGCCUGGGAAACUGGGUCUAAUACCGGAUAGGAGCGUCCACCGCAUGGUGGGUGUUGGAAAGAUUUAUCGGUUUUGGAUGGACUCGCGGCCUAUCAGCUUGUUGGUGAGGUAAUGGCUCACCAAGGCGACGACGGGUAGCCGGCCUGAGAGGGUGACCGGCCACACUGGGACUGAGACACGGCCCAGACUCCUACGGGAGGCAGCAGUGGGGAAUAUUGCACAAUGGGCGAAAGCCUGAUGCAGCGACGCCGCGUGAGGGAUGACGGCCUUCGGGUUGUAAACCUCUUUCAGUAGGGAAGAAGCGAAAGUGACGGUACCUGCAGAAGAAGCACCGGCUAACUACGUGCCAGCAGCCGCGGUAAUACGUAGGGUGCGAGCGUUAUCCGGAAUUAUUGGGCGUAAAGAGCUCGUAGGCGGUUUGUCGCGUCUGUCGUGAAAGUCCGGGGCUUAACCCCGGAUCUGCGGUGGGUACGGGCAGACUAGAGUGCAGUAGGGGAGACUGGAAUUCCUGGUGUAGCGGUGGAAUGCGCAGAUAUCAGGAGGAACACCGAUGGCGAAGGCAGGUCUCUGGGCUGUAACUGACGCUGAGGAGCGAAAGCAUGGGGAGCGAACAGGAUUAGAUACCCUGGUAGUCCAUGCCGUAAACGUUGGGCACUAGGUGUGGGGACCAUUCCACGGUUUCCGCGCCGCAGCUAACGCAUUAAGUGCCCCGCCUGGGGAGUACGGCCGCAAGGCUAAAACUCAAAGGAAUUGACGGGGGCCCGCACAAGCGGCGGAGCAUGCGGAUUAAUUCGAUGCAACGCGAAGAACCUUACCAAGGCUUGACAUGUUCUCGAUCGCCGUAGAGAUACGGUUUCCCCUUUGGGGUGGGUUCACAGGUGGUGCAUGGGUUGUCGUCAGCUCGUGUCGUGAGAUGUUGGGUUAAGUCCCG
rnacentral:rRNA from 2 species